rnacentral:rRNA from 1 species
UCCUCCCUCUGUCGGCGUGCUUAACACAUGCAAGUCGAACGGAAAGGCCCCCUUGUGGGGUACUCGAGUGGCGAACGGGUGAGUAACACGUGAGUAACCUACCCUUGACUUUGGGAUAACUUCAGGAAACUGGGGCUAAUACCGGAUAGGAGCUCCUGCUGCAUGGUGGGGGUUGGAAAGUUUCGGCGGUUGGGGAUGGACUCGCGGCUUAUCAGCUUGUUGGUGGGGUAGUGGCUCACCAAGGCUUUGACGGGUAGCCGGCCUGAGAGGGUGACCGGCCACAUUGGGACUGAGAUACGGCCCAGACUCCUACGGGAGGCAGCAGUGGGGAAUAUUGCACAAUGGGCGGAAGCCUGAUGCAGCAACGCCGCGUGCGGGAUGACGGCCUUCGGGUUGUAAACCGCUUUCGCCUGUGACGAAGCGUGAGUGACGGUAAUGGGUAAAGAAGCACCGGCUAACUACGUG